rnacentral:sRNA from 1 species
UGAUAAGUUUCUAUUCAGUGAUGUAAU